UGUAGUCCUUCCGGUGCAGGCCAGGGCGGUGACGACCCCAGGCACUCCGUAGUCGUAAAUCCUGCUGCUCCCAUGCCGCCCUUCCUCCCGCCUCCAGUGGGCGGGGCCGUGGUCGCAGCCGUUGCCUGUGUAGGUGUGUUGUGGAGCUCAGUCGCCUGCAGGAGGCGGACAACAGCGGGAGCUCGGAGCCUGGCACCCCUGGAAGUAAGGACAAAAUAUGCGUGGUGAUGUUCUCGUUAGCUCGUGCCUCCGUCACUUCAUAGAAGCCAGAUUGAGCCGUUGUGGAAUGCAGAACAUAUCUUGAAAGGAAGGAUCCCCGUGGAUCAUUGUUGAUGCCUCUGACAGACAGGCUGUCCUACGAUCGGAUUUUCCACCCUUAUUUGUCUGAGAGACACAAAGGAUUGAUGAAGGGAUAUGAACCAUUGUAGUCUGUAGGACUUAAGUCGGAUGUUCUUUUCGAGUUGGACUUUUUCUGCCGUUUCCUCCAGUAUGUAAUUACUUGAGUCUUCGUUGGUCGUUAAGGAAGAGAGAGGAUUAUGGUGUAACAGGAAGCAACCUAAAUAGAAACUUUUUUUUUUUUUAGAUCUUAUGGGAAAGGUGGUGAAUUUGCUGCAGAUUCAAGUUGUUUUGUUGCUAUAAAUACCCUCCUGCUCUCUGUUGGCCUCUAGUCUGGAAUACAAGAUGGGAUUUUUUCUUUAUGUGUGAAAUUAUUUA